rnacentral:rRNA from 1 species
AUUGAACGCUGGCGGCAGGCCUAACACAUGCAAGUCGAACGGUAACAGGAAGAAGCUUGCUUCUUUGCUGACGAGUGGCGGACGGGUGAGUAAUGUCUGUGAAACUGCCUGAUGGAGGGGGAUAACUACUGGAAACGGUAGCUAAUACCGCAUAACGUCGCAAGACCAAAGAGGGGGACCUUCGGGCAUCUUGCCAUCGGAUGUGCCCAGAUGGGAUUAGCUAGUAGGUGGGGUAACGGCUCACCUAGGCGACGAUCCCUAGCUGGUCUGAGAGGAUGACCAGCCACACUAGAACUGUGCCACGGUCCAGACUCCUACGGGAGGCAGCAGUGGGGAAUAUUGCACAAUGGGCGCAAGCCUGAUGCAGCCAUGCCGCGUGUAUGAAGAAGGCCUUCGGGUUGUAAAGUUCCUUCAGCGGGGAGGAAGGGAGUAAAGUUAAUACCUUUGCUCAUUGACGUUACCCGCAGAAGAAGCACCGGCUAACUCCGUG